rnacentral:rRNA from 1 species
GGGCCCGCACAAGCGGUGGAGUAUGUGGUUUAAUUCGAUGCAACGCGAAGAACCUUACCAGGUUUGACAUCCUGCGAAUUCUGGGAAACCGGAAAGUGCCUUCGGAACGCAGUGACAGGUGGUGCAUGGCUGUCGUCAGCUCGUGUCGUGAGAUGUUGGGUUAAGUCCCGCAACGAGCGCAACCCACGUCUUUAGUUGCCAGCAUUUAGUUGGGCACUCUAGAGAGACUGCCGGUGAUAAACCGGAGGAAGGUGUGGAUGACGUCAAGUCAUCAUGCCCCUUACAUCCUGGGCUACACACGUGCUACAAUGGCUAGGACAGACGGCUGCAAACCAGCGAUGGGGAG